GCAGGUUGGGCUUUGGCAGUAGUGGGUGGAGCAAAUUUACCAAUAGGGGGGAGUGCACUCGUAGGAGUGGCUGAUGGAGAUCGUUUUGGAGUGGCAGUAGCUGAUUCUUGAGGCACUACUGUAGACUUGUCCUGAGUUUCGGCGGGAGCAUUAACUGAUACGUCAGGUAAAAAACGCUUGAACUCCUCUAAUAAGUCAGGAGCUUCCGCAAAUAACUGAGAUACUUGAAAAUAGACAAGUUGUAUAGGUCGUUGAUCGUGUUGGUAUGAUUUUAGGAUGUCUAAAAACGAGUUAUAGGCUUCAGGUUUAUGGGAAAACCGAUUUUUAACAUUAUUAACAAAAUUAAUGGCUUGGUCGAGAUCGGCAGCCUGUUUCACAGAUGCAUCAACUGGAGGAUAUGAUGGAGCAGCUGGAGAAGGAGAGGGGUUAAAUUGCAAUGUAGAUGGAGCCGGAGGUUGCAAAACAGGAUGAGAGGCUGACGAUUGUUUCAUAUUCAUGGAAGUAUAAGAGGCAGCCGCAGGAAGAGGUGUAGUUGAACCAUGUGGAGGCGGAGGAGCAGUGGUUUUACCUAAAUCAUUGAUCAUUAGAGGACCUUGAGGCGUAGU